GGAUGUCCCAUAUGGCUACCUAGUAUGAUUUUGAGUUAAAACCAAAGAGGAGGGAUGUGGAAAUCAUAAAAAAAAAUUUGAAAAAAAUUUGAGAAAAAGGCAAUGGAAAAUUGAGUGGCGAAACUUGCAAGAAGGGUGGUGAGAUUUUUAGCAAGUGUUGCUUGUGUGUCCUAUGAUUUGGUUUUUUUAUAUGUUAGAGCUAAAAAUCAAAUCCUAGAUUAUAAGACAUCUGAAGAGUGUCUUCUUGGUGUCAUUUUAGUAGUGAGAUCGAAAGCAACUGGACUUUGGGGCGAUAAUACCAUAAGUUUGAAGCA
rnacentral:lncRNA from 1 species